UUGCUCAUGUUUCUGUUCAUGUCGUAUAAAUCUCACCUUUUACUAAAGGUUUCUGUGGAGGGAACCAUUAUGAGUAUUGCAAAAAUUGGUGGUGGUUCUGUAGCUCAGUGGGGCU